rnacentral:RNase_P_RNA from 1 species
CCGGCGCGGCGGAGGAUCGCUUCCGGCUCGCGCCGGGGGAGGAAAGUCCGAACACCGCAGGGCGCCCAGCCGCGCAACCGCGCUAACACGCGGAUACGCGCGGGGCUUGGAAUCGAAAGAUUUCAAACACGGAAAGUGCCACAGAAAAAAAACCGCCAGCUUUCGGGCUGGCAAGGGUGAAACGGCGGAGUAAGAGCCCACCGCUUUCCGAGUAAUCGGAAAGGCACGGAAAACCCCGCGGGGGUGCAAGGCCAAAUAGGAAACCUUCGAAGCGGCCCGCUUCAGGCUCACGCCGGGUUUCGGGUACCGGCCGCUCAGACGAAUGAUCUUCGCUGUUCGCGGUUCUCACGAAUCGCGACCGGAACAGAAUUCGGCUUACAGCCGCGCCGGGAUC